GAUGAACGCUGGCGGCGUGCCUAAUACAUGCAAGUCGAGCGGAAGGACGAGAAUCUUGCUUCGCUGAUGUUAGCGGCGGACGUGUGAGUAACACAUUGUACACCGUACUAUGAAACUGCGAUAACUUCUUUAGACCAGAGCUAAUACCUGAUAAUAUUUUGAACCUCAUUGUUCAAAAAUUUAAAACGGUCUUGCAUGCACUUGUAGAUGGAUCCUCGAUGCAUUAGAUAGUUGGUAAGGUAACGGCUUACCAAUGCAAGGAUUUAUAGGCGACCUGCGAGGGUGAUCGGACACACUGGAACUGUAACGCGGUACAGACCACUAUGGGAGGCAGCAGAAGGGAAACGUACGUUAGGGGAGAAAGGCUAAAGGAGCAAAGCCGCGUGAGGGAUGAAGAUCUUCGGAUAGUAAAACUCUGCUAUUAGGGAAGAACAUGUGUGUAAGUAACUGUGCACAUCUUGACGGUACUUAAUCAGAAAGGCACGGCUAACUCCGUG
rnacentral:rRNA from 1 species